GACCGCUAUCAAAAUCCUGCUUGGAGGAACUGAAAGCUUGGGGACGCUCUCUGGAAAACCCCAGGUGACCAGAAUGACAGACGCAAGGACCGACUCCGGACGGUUUUGGGCGACGGAGGAAAACAGUUUGCAGGCGCUUCCAGAAAGAAACCAGCCCAGAGCCUGAUGAAGGGCGUUUGAGCCCAAAAGCUUGCAGAAAAAGAGUCUACUACGGGUCCUGAUUGCAGAUAAAGAGAAUGUUUUUGCAGUUUCCUACUUGGUCUAAUACAAGGUUCCCACCACACUUCACCAGCUUGGCCUGUCUGCAAUCAGAUCCUACCACAACUAUUAAGCACUAUUACGUGUGAUCCUAUUCCACCCUGCUCAAGUCCCUGAAAUGUCAUUAAUGCAGCAGCUCCUGUCAUUCUAUCCUCUUUGCCUUAAAACAGUCACAAAAAAGCAGCAAGAAGGAAGAGGACCCACCCACCUUUCUUUAUUCACUGUAUCACUGUUUUCCAAGGGUUUGAGCCAGAUGGAAUUAGAGUUACACCUGAGCACCCAAGUCCAUUUGGUGUCUAAUAGGUGGAGUAAACUCU